rnacentral:rRNA from 1 species
UUGGAGGGCAAGUCUGGUGCCAGCAGCCGCGGUAAUUCCAGCUCCAAUAGCGUAUAUUAAAGUUGUUGUGGUUAAAAAGCUCGUAGUUGAACCUUGGGCCUGGCUGGCCGGUCCGCCUCACCGCGUGCACUGGUCCGGCCGGGCCUUUCCCUCUGCGGAACCCCAUGCCCUUCACUGGGUGUGGCGGGGAAACAGGACUUUUACUUGAAAAAAUUGAGUGCUCAAGGCAGGCCUAUGCUCGAAUACAUUAGCAUGGAAUAAUAGAAUAGGA